UGUAGACAGGAUAACUCAGUGGUUAAGGCAACUGACCUUAGUGCGGGAGACUGGGGUUCAAAUCUCCUCAGGUUGAUGGUUUGAUCCUUAUCCAGGGCAGGUGAAUUUAUAAAGUCCAACGCCCAAAUAAAAAGGAUAAAUGCGCCCGGAGAAAAGGUGAUUGGUGUAGCAGCAGGAUAGCUCAGUGGUUAAGACUACUGGCCUUAGUGCGGGAGACGGGGGUUCAAAUCUGAUGCUACCAUAUGCACGUCAUGGCACGGCAUGGGGGAGCCAGGACGCCAGGAAAAGUGGGGAUGUCAUCAUCCCCCACAUUGAGUAAAUAA